CAAGGGUCUUGAAUUUGAGUACCUAAUGGAUCAUGAACAAAAAUUCAAAUCAGUUUAAAGAUAGUAUGACGAACAUUUAUCCAUGACAAGAUUUAUGGGUGAUCAUAAACAAAAAUUGAAUCCUCCAAAUCUUACAUCUAAAAAUCCUAUGAUUCCAAGUAAAGACAAGAGAGAGAAACAAGGAGUGAGAGAGAACAAAUAGAAAGAGAGAGAGAAAAGAGAGGGAGUG
rnacentral:lncRNA from 1 species